UACGUAGGUGGCAAGCGUUGUCCGGAUUUACUGGGCGUAAAGAGCGCGCAGGCGGUCGUUCAAGUCGCGUGUGAAAGCCCCCGGCUCAACUGGGGAGGGUCACGCGAUACUGAUCGACUCGAAGGCAGGAGAGGGUAGUGGAAUUCCCGGUGUAGCGGUGAAAUGCGUAGAGAUUUGGAGGAACACCAGUGGCGAAGGCGGCUUUCUGGUCUGUAACUGACGCUGAGGCGCGAAAGCGUGGGGAGCAAACAGG
rnacentral:rRNA from 1 species